rnacentral:rRNA from 1 species
GUGCACGCUGGCGGCAGGCCUCACACAUGCCAGUCGCGCGGCAGCGCGGGGGCAACCCUGGCGGCGAGCGGCGGACGGGUGAGGAAUUCGUCGGAAUCUGCCUUUUUGUGGGGGAUAACGUAGGGAAACUUACGCUAAUACCGCAUACGUCCUACGGGAGAAAGUGGGGGACCGCAAGGCCUCACGCAGAAAGAUGAGCCGACGACCGAUUAGCUAGUUGGUGGGGUAAAGGCCCACCAAGGCGACGAUCGGUAGCUGGUCUGAGAGGAUGAUCAGCCACACUGGGACUGAGACACGGCCCAGACUCCUACGGGAGGCAGCAGUGGGGAAUAUUGGACAAUGGGCGCAAGCCUGAUCCAGCCAUGCCGCGUGUGUGAAGAAGGCCUUCGGGUUGUAAAGCACUUUUGUCCGGAAAGAAAUCCCUGGAGCUAAUACCUUCGGGGGAUGACGGUACCGGAAGAAUAAGCACCGGCUAACUUCGUG